AACGGCCAUACCAUGCUGAAUAUACCGGUUCUCGUUAGAUCACCGAAGUCAAGCAUCAUUGAGCCCGGUCAGUACUUGGGUGGGUGACCACCUGGGAACACCGCGUGCCGUU
rnacentral:rRNA from 1 species